CACUACACACUAUCUAUUCAUAGUUGUAGUUGCUGUAAAUAGUACAUUAUUGACAAUCAACGCAGGAGACUACAUAUUCUAUACAGAUUGGGCAUGGACAUCAUUUGUUGUAUUCUCAGUAUCCCAAUCAACAAUGCUUGUAGUGGGAGCAAUCUAUUACAUGCUAUUCACCGGUGUACCAGGGACUGCAACAUAUUAUGCAACAAUCAUGACUAUCUAUACAUGGGUAGCCAAAGGAGCUUGGUUUGCACUAGGAUAUCCAUACGACUUCAUGGGCAACUAGAAGGAAUAAACAUGCUGCCAUAAUUAUUGGCGGAACAUUGGUUGGACUUUCACUACCAAUAUUCAACAUGAUAAAUCUACUGCUGGUAAGAGACCCUCUAGAGAUGGCAUUCAAGUAUCCUCGUCCAACAUUGCCUCCAUACAUGACACCAAUUGAGCCUCAGGUCGGUAAGUUCUACAAUAGUCCCGUGGCGCUAGGAUCCGGGGCGGGAGCUGUACUGAGCGUUCCAAUCGCUGCAUUGGGCGCAAAACUAAAUACCUGG
rnacentral:rRNA from 1 species